GAUGAACGCUGGCGGCGUGCCUAACACAUGCAAGUCGAACGGAGUCCCGCCUUAGAGACCUUCGGGUCAAAGAGGGGAAGACUGAGUGGCGGACGGGUGAGUAACACGUGGGCAACCUGGCUCAUAGAGGGGGAUAACAGAGAGAAAUUUCUGCUAAUACCGCAUAAGCACACACUGCCGCAUGGCAGAGUGUGAAAAGAGAAUCGCUAUGAGAUGGACCCGCGUCUGAUUAGCCAGUUGGCAGGGUAAGAGCCUACCAAAGCGACGAUCAGUAGCCGAGUAGAGAGGAUGAACGGCCACAUUGGGACGGAGACACGGCCCAAACUCCUACGGGAGGCAGCAGUGGGGGAUAUUGCACCAUGGGGGGAACCCUGAUGCAGCGACGCCGCGUGAGUGAAGAAGUAUUGCGGUAUGUAAAGCUCUAUCAGCAGUGAAGAUAAUGACAGUACCUGAAUAAGAAGCCCCGGCUAACUACGUG
rnacentral:rRNA from 1 species